rnacentral:tRNA from 1 species
GGCUCCGUGGUGUAGUUGGUAUCGAAUUGGCUUAGAAUGCCGAAGACGCUGGUUCGAAUCCAGCCGAUGCCC